CCUACGGGAGGCAGCAGUGGGGAAUAUUGCACAAUGGGGGAAACCCUGAUGCAGCGACGCCGCGUGAGUGAAGAAGUAAUUCGGUACGUAAAGCUCUAUCAGCAGGGAAGAAAGACUGACCGUACGGUCAGCAGACGGUACCUGAGGAAGAAGCCCCGGCUAACUACGUGCCAGCAGCCGCGGUAAUACGGAGGGGGCAAGCGGUAUCCGGAUUUACUGGGUGGACAGGGAGCGUAGACGGUGCGCCAAGGCUGGAGUGAAAGGCCGCAGCUUAACGGCGGAACUGCUUUGGAAACUGGCGAACUAGAGUGCGGGCGUGGUAAUCGGAAUUCCUCGUGUAGCGGUGAAAUGCGUAGAUAUUAGGAGGAACACCGGUGGCGAAGGCGGCUUACUGGACCGUAACUGACGUUGAGGCUCG
rnacentral:rRNA from 1 species